ACGAACGCUGGCGGCAUGCCUCACACUUGCAAGUCGAACGAGACCUUCGGGUCUAGUGGCGCACGGGUGCGUAACGCGUGGGAACCUGCCCUUAGGUUCGGAAUAACUCCCCGAAAGGGGUGCUAAUACCGGAUAAUGUCUUCGGACCAAAGAUUUAUCGCCUUUGGAUGGGCCCGCGUUGGAUUAGCUAGUUGGUAGGGUAAAAGCCUACCAAGGCGACGAUCCAUAGCUGGUCUGAGAGGAUGAUCAGCCACACUGGGACUGAGACACGGCCCAGACUCCUACGGGAGGCAGCAGUGGGGAAUAUUGGACAAUGGGCGAAAGCCUGAUCCAGCAAUGCCGCGUGAGUGAUGAAGGCCUUAGGGUUGUAAAGCUCUUUUACCCGGGAUGAUAAUGACAGUACCGGGAGAAUAAGCUCCGGCUAACUCCGUG
rnacentral:rRNA from 1 species